CUCCAAAAACCAUCAAAGUUAAGCUACCGCCUAAGUUCGAAGCUGGGUUCUCCCUCUUGAGAACUUUCUUUCGAAGAAUCACCGUGAUGACCUCAUCCAUCUUGAUGGUCUUCUUUCCUACUAGAGAGCAGUCACCAAGGACUCAUGCGAAGGGAGAAGUGAUGCUAAUAAGACUAGUGCUCUGGUCUUCCUCUCAACUUUCUCACCAAUGCUGAGGAGAUCGAUGAGAAUCUUUC
rnacentral:lncRNA from 1 species